AGGCUUCGGACAGUUGGGAGGAAUAAAAACAUUGGAUUGUUGCCAUGCGGUCUAACCCAAGAUUAGAUUUAUCAUGAUAGGAAAGCUGCACUGAAUUUGUCCAACGUCCUGAAUUCGUGAUUAUGGAUCUGGAAGAACAUCAGAGGUUCACCGCUCAACAAACUGGAUAAUCGAAGACGCCAAAAAUUCCAAGAGGAUUCUUGACGGUGAUUGGAGAUAUCUGGGUGCUGGACUCCAUCGCGCCCCCCUCAGCGUCGAUCAUCGCUACUAUCGCCAUCUGCAGUGUGUCU